UACGUAGGGGGCAAGCGUUGUCCGGAUUUACUGGGCGUAAAGAGCGUGUAGGCGGCCAGGCAGGUCAGCUGUGAAAACUCGAGGCUUAACCUCGAGCUGUCGGCGGAAACCAUCUGGCUAGAGUCCGGAAGAGGAGAAUGGAAUUCCCGGUGUAGCGGUGAAAUGCGCAGAUAUCGGGAAGAACACCCGUGGCGAAGGCGGUUCUCUGGGACGGUACUGACGCUGAGACGCGAAAGCGUGGGGAGCGAACAGG
rnacentral:rRNA from 1 species